rnacentral:lncRNA from 1 species
CGGUGCCUUCUUCAUCCCCAGGCAAGUCACAAUACCCACUCGCAUGAUAGUCAUGCAGUAGCCAUGGUUUUCAACUUGAAUCUUUAUUAAAUAUUUGCUUGUUGAAAAGAUGGUUAUCGUUGUUCCGGUGAAGUUUAGAUUUGCAUGUUCAUUGUAUUGCUAUGUUGUUUUAUACCAUGUGAUCAUGUUAUACCUGUUAGUAUUACCUUUCAUAUGUUUAUGCUUGUUAGUAGUACAUGUUGAUGUUGGAGAUGGUCACGCUAGUCAGUAUGAGAUGCUCAGUGGAUAUGAGUUAUUGUUGAUAUGGUGGGAAGUUAUGUGAUACUCCCAUGAUGAUGUUGAUAUCAUGUUCAUGUAUUAUAGUUGGCAUCAUGUUAUUUUAUCAUGGCUCAGCAUAUUUGUCUUCAAGUUUAACCGGAUUAAAUUGAACAUGAACAUCUGUUGGCUGAGUCAUGCUGCCGUUGAAUCGAUGUUGACUAGUGCAACCACGCUUACCGGUAUGGGACGGUCCUAACUGGGUCUAUUGUCGUGCCUCUGGUCAGUACCUCAAUUUAGGGAAGGUAUGGGCGCGUGCUACCCUAAUCAGGUAGGCGGAGCAUAACCUUGUGAGCCCGUUGUUAAGUUAAUUUUGGUACCGGAUCCCAGUGUGGAUCGUGGCCACGACGGUGGUCGAGGUGUCUGGAGGUAGACACGGGGCCACCCAGGACUAGCCCGGUGGGGUCUGAGUCGGAAGGGCCGGGAGAGUGUCAUGACAAUAGAUCGGUUUUGUCGGAACGCUGUUGGUCCACUCGGAUGGGAAAGUGAGGCCAUGGGUUCCGUAGUGUGGGUACAGUGUACUAACCUCUGCAGAGUGUAUAUUAAUCUAUCAAUAGCCGCGCCCGCGGAUAAGGGCCCAGGUCGAGAAAAGGUCACACCAUGAGUCAACAGUAAUAAGAAUAAUGUGCUUAAUAACAGUGAGAUAAGUUGGCCAAGUGUUGGUCGGGUUGUGAUCGCCGUAAGGAUCAGGGGCCAUUUAGUGGUAGGGUUGUGAUCGCCGUAAGGAUCACGGGCCAUUUAGUGGUCGGGUUGUGAUCACCGUAAGGAUCACGAUUUGAGACUAAGUGUUGGUCGUGGUUGUGAUCACCGUAAGGAUCACGAUGGUAUCGAGGAUACCGAGUUGUUGUAUAUUCGUGAUGUUGUACGAGAGUCGUGGGUAAAGAUCAAGCUCAUUGUGGUUAUUUAAUGAUCGCUACAGUAUUGUUUAUACCAAGCUUGAUUUGAUCCUGAGAUGAUCGUGUGAUGUCCGAGGUUGGUAAGUGAUGCAUGUGUUGGUUACAAGGUAACCGAGCAGAUAGUGGUGCAUAUAGUGUUAUCAUGUUGCAUGCUAGUAUUGUUGGAUUAAUAUGUUCAUGUUGAGAUAGUCGUAUCAUGUUUAUGUUGGUCAUGCCAUGUUAUGCUGAUGAUAUCAUGUUAAUUACUGUUUAACCUAUAAUCGCCAUGCUAUUGUUAGUCUUGAAUGCUUCUGGUUAUUUGUGAGCUUGCAAGUACAUUCAAUGUACUGACCUGGCGUGUCUUGCCAGUUUGCAGGUCAUGCCGGAUUUGAUUGCUUGCUUGUCGUGGUUUCCGUUCGUGCGAGCUAGGAUAAGCGUUCCAGCCAGAGUCCCUGCGGAGUGGAGUUCACCACAGUCGCUGUUGUUCCGCUGCUAGAGUUAUUCCGCUACUUCGAGUUGUUCUGCUGCUUGCAUAGAGCAACUGAGGAUGGCGUAGUGUCGCCGUACCGAUGUUAUUCAUUGUAAUAUCGGAGACCUUGUA